CGUCCGCAUACACCGAAGGCAGGGACGGGGGAACCAUCAGUUCCACCGGACGCGCAGGAUCCCUGCACGCGUCCUCGGGGUUAAGUCGCACCGCACCGCCCACCGGCGGUGCCCGCGGCCGGGUGACUCCCAUCCGAACCCGACAGCUCACCCCGCAGGCAUGGGAGAGGUAUA
rnacentral:sRNA from 2 species